ACAAAUUGCAACUGUGUAUAUAUUUCCAAAUCGCAUUUACUUUAUUUUUAAUGUUUAGCUCAAAUUUUACAUACGAAACGAUCCAAACGAUAUUAUACUUGUUGUGGAUACGAAAAAAUCUUGGAUGGAUAUUAAUAUUUUACUCCAAUAACGUAUUGUAACGAUUUCAAAAAAGAAAUUGGAAAAAUCAUAAUCAACUUAUGUACAGACAAUAAGUCGAGGAGAAAUUAAAUGAACCAAACGCUGCGGCCGCAGAAGACAAAUGGGAAAACACAAUUAAUCUAAUACCCGUAGAGAAGAAAUGAUUUCGAACUCUUUACAAA